rnacentral:lncRNA from 1 species
AAAUUUUGUAAACAAAUAAGCAAUAUACAAAUAAUUUCCAGGCCUCAAACAUUUAAUUAUGCAUUUGUAAACAAAUAAUAUACGAAUCUUUACUGUUGCCAAUAUUUUCACUAUGUACUGCAUCAAAAUCUAGAGAAAUUCGAAGCUCAAAUCAAUAGCUCUGCUGUCAAUUAUGCAUUUGCAAGUAAAGAUUCUUGUGAAAGUAAAGAUUUCUUUAUUCAAAACCUGCAAUAAGCUUGCCCUCAAAAUUUCCACUUCGAAAGUGUAGCAGCAAUUUACACUUUUCUUUAAGAAACCCCAAAAGACUGCCUUUCCUUCUGCCCAUGAGCAAAUUUGGAGAAUUCCUGUACAAAUUCAGUGCCUUCACUAAAAAAAAAAUGUCACAACUAUUUAACCAUAACCCUGCUAUCAUUUAUGUAUUUGCAAGUAAGCAGAAACACACAUUAACUUGAAUUUGGUCAUCACAUCACAUUCAAUAAAAAGUUUGCCUGAAUUGCACACGUAUGCAGAAGUUGAAAUCAGCCUAAAACAUUUUUGGAUCUGCCAAAAUCGGAUGAAUAAUCAAUUAUCCGGAAGACGAAAUUCACAAAAAGAAAGCACGAUCUUGUACUGGAUUUUGUUGCAAGUAUAAGUUCGAUUGAAUUUUUCCGCUGUAUAAGUGGGUGGAAUUUGGACGGAUCUUGGGGAUUGGGUUUGGAGCUGAACCUUUUUAUGAGGCCCCGUAAAUCACGAGGCCAAGGCAGCUGCCUAGUUCGCCUUGGGCCAAGGCCAGCUCUGAUUGACGGUUGUCUAUUUCAUAUUAUCAUUUCAGCAGAUGACAAUUCUACCUACCAAUGGUAGCAUAAUCUUCAACAAGAUAAUUGGGUGAACAUAAUUUGAAUACAACAAAUUGUAUGGACAUAUCCAAUUAAAAAAAUAAUUCUAAUAUGUGCUUGAGAACAUAAAUAACAUGACAAUAAAUUAUAGUUCUCACUAUGUAUUCUUGUCAAUCUCUAUUUAAAGAGCCCAAAAAUCCAUUAAUUUUCAUAUAAAAUACCUUUUAUACAUAUAUAUCUCUCUCCCAUGUAAAAUCAGCAUUUCUCGAUGAAAUGUACAACUCAUGAAUUGUGAAGAAGUCGUGCAAACAAGAAUAUGGUAUACUAAUAUUAUAUUAUAAACAAACAAAUAACAAA